UCAGCAUACUACGGUGAAUACGUUCCCGGGCCUUGUACACACCGCCCGUCAAACCAUGAGAGUUGGCAACACCCGAAGUCGGUAGUCUAACCGCAAGGAGGACGCCGCCGAAGGUGGGGUUGAUGAUUAGGGUUAAGUCGUAACAAGGUACC
rnacentral:rRNA from 1 species